rnacentral:misc_RNA from 1 species
UACGGAGGAUCCAAGCGUUAUCCGGAAUCAUUGGGUGUAAAGGGUCCGUAGGCGGGAUAAUAAGUCAGUGGUGAAAGUCUGCAGCUUAACUGUAGAAUUGCCAUUGAUACUGUUUAUCUUGAGUUAUUAUGAAGUGGUUAGAAUAUGUAGUGUAGCGGUGAAAUGCAUAGAUAUUACUCAGAAUACCGAUUGCGAAGGCAGGUCACUAAUAAUAUACUGACGCUGAUGGACGAAAGCGUAGGUAGCGAGCAGG